AAAUUGAAGAGUUUGAUCAUGGCUCAGAUUGAACGCUGGCGGCAGGCCUAACACAUGCAAGUCGAACGGUAACAGGAAGCAGCUUGCUGCUUUGCUGACGAGUGGCGGACGGGUGAGUAAUGUCUGGGAAACUGCCUGAUGGAGGGGGAUAACUACUGGAAACGGUGGCUAAUACCGCAUAACGUCGCAAGACCAAAGAGGGGGACCUUCGGGCCUCUUGCCAUCAGAUGUGCCCAGAUGGGAUUAGCUUGUUGGUGAGGUAACGGCUCACCAAGGCGACGAUCCCUAGCUGGUCUGAGAGGAUGACCAGCCACACUGGAACUGAGACACGGUCCAGACUCCUACGGGAGGCAGCAGUGGGGAAUAUUGCACAAUGGGCGCAAGCCUGAUGCAGCCAUG
rnacentral:rRNA from 1 species